AUAUAUCAACCUCUUCAGCUUUUGGUUGUUGAUUGGUUUGGAUGUGGGGGUUGUUUGCUGGCCUCUUAGGAUGUCAGCUCCCCUGAAAUGCAUUAGCGAAACAAUUUGUUGAUCGUUCAAUGGUGUGAUAAUUAUCUACACUAUUAAUGUGAGACAGUUUAGCUUCUAACAGUCCAUUAACUUGGACAAUUUUAUUUAUUA
rnacentral:misc_RNA from 1 species